UACGUAGGGUGCGAGCGUUAAUCGGAAUUACUGGGCGUAAAGCGUGCGCAGGCGGUUUGCUAAGACCGAUGUGAAAUCCCCGGGCUUAACCUGGGAACUGCAUUGGUGACUGGCAGGCUAGAGUAUGGCAGAGGGGGGUAGAAUUCCACGUGUAGCAGUGAAAUGCGUAGAGAUGUGGAGGAAUACCGAUGGCGAAGGCAGCCCCCUGGGCCAAUACUGACGCUCAUGCACGAAAGCUGGGGGAGCAAACAGG
rnacentral:rRNA from 1 species